rnacentral:rRNA from 1 species
GCGGACGGGUGAGUAACGCGUAUGAACGUGUCCUGGGAUGGGGGAUAACGCUGGGAAACUGGCGCUAAUACCGCAUAUCUCCUGAGGGAGAAAGCCGCGAGGCGUCUUGGGAGCGGCCUGCGUCCGAUUAGCUUGUUGGUUAGGUAAUGGCUGACCAAGGCGAUGAUCGGUAGCUGGUCUGAGAGGAUGAUCAGCCACACUGGGACUGAGACACGGCCCAGACUCCUACGGGAGGCAGCAGUGGGGAAUAUUGGACAAUGGGCGCAAGCCUGAUCCAGCAAUUCCGCGUGGGUGAA